rnacentral:lncRNA from 1 species
CAGGUUGCAUCUAAAAUUUUUUUUAUUUAUCUAUAUGAUUAAGAAUUAAAUCUUUACCUGAUUAGUAGUAAAAUCAGAGAUCAAAUCUCAAAUAAUCUAAUAUAAACCUUCACGGAGGUCUGGAUGUGCAGACCCUCUAUUUCGCAUGCACGUCAAAUAUCGUAGAAAAGCAGGAUGAACUCCAAUCUAAUUAUCUUCACAAUCCAAUAAAAUGAGGGAGGAGAUAUGCUAGUGUGACACCUCAUCCAUGCUUAAAAGAAGAGGUGCGGCAAU